GAAAAGCUCCAGACCCCGUUCAUCCAUUCCAUUCCAAUCUGACCUGACCUGUUUCUGCCUCACGACCACCCGUUCAGCCUGCUUCCCUUGUGCCUUUUCCACUACUCCAUCUUCAAGACAAGUGCUGCACCUCCUGGUGGCUGGAGGCGAUCCCUGCACUGACUCACCUGUUCCUGCUUAUCCUCC